rnacentral:rRNA from 1 species
CCUACGGGAGGCAGCAGUAGGGAAUAUUGCUCAAUGGGGGAAACUCUGAAGCAGCAACGCCGCGUGGAGGAUGAAGGUUUUCGGAUUGUAAACUCCUUUUGUUAGAGAAGAUAAUUACGGUAUCUAACGAAUAAGCACCGGCUAACUCCGUGCCAGCAGCCGCGGUAAUACGGAGGGUGCAAGCGUUACUCGGAAUCACUGGGCGUAAAGAGCGCGUAGGCGGGAUAGCAAGUCAGAUGUGAAAUCCUAUGGCUUAACCAUAGAACUGCAUUUGAAACUGUUAUGCUAGAGUAUGGGAGAGGUAGGUGGAAUUCUUGGUGUAGGGGUAAAAUCCGUAGAGAUCAAGAGGAAUUCUCAUUGCGAAGGCGACCUGCUAGAGCAUAACUGACGCUGAUGCGCGAAGGCGUGGGGAGCAAACAGGAUUAGAUACCCCGGUAGUC